rnacentral:tRNA from 1 species
GGGUAUGGCUUAGUGGUAAAGCUCCUGCUUAGCAUGCACAAAAUCCUGGGUUCAAUCGCCAGUAUCUCCA